rnacentral:rRNA from 1 species
UACGAAGGGGGCUAGCGUUGCUCGGAAUCACUGGGCGUAAAGCGCACGUAGGCGGAUUGCUAAGUCAGGGGUGAAAUCCUGGAGCUCAACUCCAGAACUGCCUUUGAUACUGGAGAGCUUGAGUCCGGGAGAGGUGAGUGGAACUGCGAGUGUAGAGGUGAAAUUCGUAGAUAUUCGCAAGAACACCAGUGGCGAAGGCGGCUCACUGGCCCGGUACUGACGCUGAGGUGCGAAAGCGUGGGGAGCAAACAGG